AUUGAACGCUGGCGGCAUGCUUUACACAUGCCAGUCGAACGGCAGCGGAGAGUGCUUGCACUCUGCCGGCGAGUGGCGAACGGGUGAGUAACAUAUUGGAACGUACCGAGUAAAGGGGGAUAACUAUCCGAAAGGAUAGCUAAUACCGCAUACGCUUUGAGAAGGAAAGUGGGGGAUCUUCGGACCUCACGUUAUUCGAGCGGCCAAUAUCUGAUUAGCUAGUUGGUGGGGUAAAGGCCUACCAAGGCGACGAUCAGUAGCGGGUCUGAGAGGACGAUCCGCCACACUGGGACUGAGACACGGCCCAGACUCCUACGGGAGGCAGCAGUGGGGAAUUUUGGACAAUGGGCGCAAGCCUGAUCCAGCCAUGCCGCGUGUCUGAAGAAGGCCUUCGGGUUGUAAAGGACUUUUGUUAGGGAAGAAAAGAAAUGGGUUAAUACCCCAUUUUGCUGACGGUACCUAAAGAAUAAGCACCGGCUAACUACGUG
rnacentral:rRNA from 1 species